rnacentral:rRNA from 1 species
UGGGGAAUAUUGCACAAUGGGCGCAAGCCUGAUGCAGCCAUGCCGCGUGUAUGAAGAAGGCCUUCGGGUUGUAAAGUACUUUCAGUCGGGAGGAAGGUGGUAAGGUUAAUAACCUUAUCAAUUGACGUUACCGACAGAAGAAGCACCGGCUAACUCCGUGCCAGCAGCCGCGGUAAUACGGAGGGUGCAAGCGUUAAUCGGAAUUACUGGGCGUAAAGCGCACGCAGGCGGUUUCUUAAGUCUGAUGUGAAAGCCCCCGGCUCAACCGGGGAGGGUCAUUGGAAACUGGGAGACUUGAGUGCAGAAGAGGAGAGUGGAAUUCCAUGUGUAGCGGUGAAAUGCGUAGAUAUAUGGAGGAACACCAGUGGCGAAGGCGGCUCUCUGGUCUGUAACUGACGCUGAGGCUCGAAAGCGUGGGGAGCAAACAGG